UACAGAGGGUGCAAGCGUUAAUCGGAAUUACUGGGCGUAAAGCGUGCGUAGACGGUUGCGUAAGUCAGAUGUGAAAGCCCACGGCUCAACCGUGGAGGGUCAUUGGAAACUGGGGGGACUUGAGUGCAGGAGAGAAGAGUGGAAUUCCACGUGUAGCGGUGAAAUGCGUAGAUAUCUGGAGGAACACCGGUGGCGAAGGCGGCAUCCUGGACCGGUAUUGACGCUGAUGCGCGAAAGCCAGGGGAGCAAACGGG
rnacentral:rRNA from 1 species